rnacentral:lncRNA from 1 species
GCAUGGGUGUGUGUAUAUAUUUAUUCAUCUCUAAAUUCCACACUGUUCCUUCCUGCAUCUUGUGAAAACCUUUACAGAUGGAUAUUCUCUACUGAACAGUUUUCCCAGAAGUGUGACACGUCAUGUUGCUGAAGUUUACAUAUGUGUAUAGCUAAUCUAACUUUAUCACCUAAUACCAGUUAUAUACUCUGUUAUUGUGGUAUAAUGCUGGGUGAAAGUUGUGUUAACCCUAAACAAUUUUUAUUGCAUACAUUUUUUAAAGUUAUCUCAUUUUGAGUCGAAGAUAGGCUUAUUCCUGUUCCAAAUGAAAGCACCCAAAUUCUCGAUACCUCCUAUUUCUUGCUUCUGUUAUGUUUUUAUCUUAUCCUCAGGCCACGAACUGUUUUUUCUUUUUUCUAUGUGGAAUCCCAACUUAACGGUCACUCCAACCCAGAAGCAUUGAGAAAUUAGAAAAUUCCAGGAUACGCAUCAGAAUGUAAAAUGUGUUUAACCAAAAGAAAAAGAGCAGCAGUCUCAUUUGUAAAGUCCAAUAGCUUUAAUGUGUUUACUCUUGCUUUAAUCUGGUCAUCAAGGGUGUAUUUUUUAGCUGUUCAUUUGGUAUACAACACAGAAUCAGUGAUUGCAUGAACACAUUAGUCUCUACAAGGCUAAAUCUACCUCUAGGACACGUCCAAGGGACCUGAAUGACAUGCCAUGCAUCUUAAGUGACUGUGCACUCCCAUGUACUCCAAACUCAGCACCAAACUGACAUUUUAGCUUUAUUUCAAAUGUCUCUUAGAGACAAACAUAGACUAGUAGGUAUAAAAACCUCUGAAGAGUACCAAGAGCAAUGAGGUUUUGUCAAGGUUUUGUUGUGUUUUAUGGACAGUUUUCAGGGACUAACUUACCAGAAAGUCUGAUUGAUUUGAGCAGUCAUUUUGAUCUGUGAUUUAAUUAUUAAAAUACAGUUGGAAGGUUCCUAAAAGAAAGCAUUGUUGAAUAUAUCCUGCUACCUUUUUAUAAACCCAUGACAUCUUAUGAUUUUUAAAAUAGCAAGAAAACACUGAUGGAGAAUUUUUCUUGAAGUUGAAAUGGGUAUAGUAAAUGCAUUUGCAAAGUCCUUUUCAAACUUUAGCAGGGAACAAGGGCAGAGCUUUUGAGAUAUAUAGUUCAUGAAAAAUACUUGUCAGUUAUGUGAGUUUUUUUUCUUACUCCAUCCAACCCUCCUUUCCUUUCUUUAUAACUGGACUCCCCCUAUGGUUUUAAUUUUAGCAAAUCAGAAAUUGGUUUCAUUUAAUUUGCAUUUCCUUUUGUAUAUUCUCUUGAUUAAAAACAACAAAAAUUCCACUGCUGACCACAAUGAGAUAUUCCCAAUCUCUUACUUACUCUCUAUUAUUUUAAUUCAAUAGGAUUCUAAUGUAAUUUGGCAACAGCUAAUAUUACUUGGAUCAAGAAGCAUUUGGCAUAAACAGAAAGAGAUGUCUAGGGAAGAUGACCAAGCAAAGAAUUUAGAAAGAAGGGAUGGCCUCCGUGGUUAAAAAUAAAAGUCUUGUAUUCAGUUCUGCUUUACUGUGCAGAAAAUAGAUACUGUUGUUAUUCAAAAUAUAAAACUUAAAUCCCAUGCUUAGAUUCUGGAAUAUCUAAAGUAACUAUGGAUACCAAAUUUAUGAUUAAAAACAAAAUCUUACACUUAGUCUUCACAUUUAAGAUCAAGACAUAAUUGUAUUUCUGAAAUGUGUUACUUUUCUAUAUAAUAAAUUCGCUCAUUUAUCAAGGAAUACUGAUGAUAAAAACUCAGUUAUGGGUUCUCAUCUGGGACAUGAAGCUGGGACAUAGCCUCUUGGGAAUAAAAAUAAAAACAGGUCGUGGAGAGGUGUAUCCUGUCUGCCUUUGCGGUAAUUCUCUCUCUCCUCCAGAGGACCCUGUGGGGAGAUCCCUGGCUUGGAUCUCCUGCUGAGCCCUUGUAUGGCUAUUGUUCCAGUGGUUAUUCCUCAGUGGGACAGCCCUACCCAUGCCCGCUCCCCAGAAGCUCCCUGUCUCACCUCCCCACUCCAUCCUUGGGAAACUAGAUGAUCUAAUGUGGAGUAAUUAUCUGUGCAAUUUGCUUGGGUGGUGGCAAGAUAUUCCCAAUCUGUUACCAUUUGCUGUCUGUUAAGUGUAAUAAAGAAUGACUCUAAUUCUGCCUUGUCCUUACCCAACUAAGUCACUGGAGAAAAAUCUUGAAAGAUGUGUUUUUACCCCAUUCAGCCAAUACUGAGCAUUGCAAUACCCAUGAAGCCUCCAUAGGCUUGAAAGUGACAAGGCAGGAACGAUGCCUGAGUGCUCACCUCUGGAUACACUCCCGUAGGCUAUCUGCACUUGGUAGGUGCUCAAAAAGGUCAUAAUAGUAAUGGAAAGAAUAUACAAGCAGGUUUAUUUACAGCAAAAAUAGUGGCUUUCUCAACUAAAUCUAAUGUAGAUCAGUGUUUUAUGAAUCCAAUGAUGCUUACAUGUGUGUGUAUAUAUAUUUAUAUAUUUAAAAACUUAUGUAUUUAGUAUAUAGAAUUAUGUAUGUGAGCAUAAUUCACAUUGGGGUGUUUUGGAACGAACUGUUUCACUACUGUUUUUCAGGCUUGUUAGAAUAAUUAUUCUUUUGAACUCUAAAAUGUCUUCUAUUGCUUUUGUUUCCUUUUUCCUGGCUGACCAAAGGAAUGUUGAAGCAUUGCAAAACAAAUUUCAACUCUUUAUAAUCUGAACUGAAAUUGUGUGAGUGCUAUAAAGCAAAGCCACUGGCUCUAGGAAUUGAAAGAGUAAACCGAAUAUAACGCUGUAGGUGUCAGUGUUCCAAUGUGAACGUAUAUUUCUGAUAAAAUGUUAAAAAAGCAAACUGCUUUCUAAAAGAGGAGCAAAAAUUAUUGGAUCGUCUCCCAUUCUUUAUUUACUACUUCAUUUUUCUGAAUAUAUGCUUGAGAUAAAGGGUAAUCAAGAUGAAAAAUACAUAGACGCUUAUAGUCUUGGAACCUGAAUAGGGGGAGUAUUCUUGCUUAAAGUCCCAUGGUUAUAGUUUUCCCCCAUGGCAGGAUUUAUAUCUUUUCAUUAUUACACUAAGCAGUCACUGUUUUUCUCUGCAUACACUGGGAGACAGAUGGGGAUAUCAAAUGUGCACAGGAGAUACCAUUCUCUUUAGUUGGAGAUGUCUAAUACAUCAUUUCUAUAGGAUUUUAAAAAAAUUAUAUGAGCAAACGUGACCUUUGUAAUUAUAUGAAAAAGUCUCUAGGAAGCAGGAACAUUAAAUAAUCCUGUGCUUUGUCUUUGUGAAAUGGUCAGUUUUAAAUUGAAUACUCACUGGCAUUCAUGUUGGUGUUUGAAAAAUUAUCAAAUUUAGAACUCACCCCCAGAUGUAGCUGUGAGCGACUUUAUCUGACUUCAGUUUUACUGAGACACCCUAAAAUAUAAGGUCUAUCAUUUAGUGUCUCUUACUAUUUGAAAAAAAAAAAAAAUCUAGAAAGGAGUAUUCCCUCCUUGAAAUGCACAAAUUCUUAGGAUUCAGGGUAAACAAUGUCUAGCAUUUGGAAUGGAGAAGGCGAUGGCACACCACUCCAGUACUUUUGCCUGGAAAAUGCCAUGGAUGGAGGAGCCUGGUAG